AUCAAAUAUAUUAAAAUACAAUCAACUCUUCUAACCAAAAACACACAACACAAAACACACACACCCCGUUCAUAAAGCUAUAUUACAGAUUUGAAUCUUCUAAAUAACAUCUCUCCUUCUGGAUGCUCUAACCAGGCUUGUUUGAAAUGAAUGCUGCAGAUUUUCCAAAAAGAGUUCCAAUCCGUACAGUUGGCUAAGCAUGUCUUAAAGCCAGCGUGCUUUUGCAACAUAAGUUCCCACAGUCCAAGUUCUUCUAGCAAGAGUGACAGGACGAAUAUCACCAUCGCAAUUACUCCACAUAAUUGUUGCAACAGCAAAACAAAGCCAUUUUUAGUUCGUAAUGGAUGGGAAACCUUUCCAAAAAUGUAUCUAUACUGACAAA